rnacentral:rRNA from 1 species
UACAGGGGGGGCAAGCGUUGUUCGGAAUUACUGGGCGUAAAGGGCUCGUAGGCGGCCAACUAAGUCACACGUGAAAUCCCCAGGCUUAACCUGGGAACUGCGUGUGAUACUGGAUGGCUUGAAUUCGGGAGAGGGAUGCAGAAUUCCAGGUGUAGCGGCGAAAUGCGUAGAUAUCUGGAGGAAUACCGGUGGCGAAGGCGGCAUCCUGGACCGACAUUGACGCUGAGGAGCGAAAGCUAGGGGAGCAAACGGG